rnacentral:rRNA from 1 species
UACGGAGGGGGCUAGCGUUGUUCGGAAUUACUGGGCGUAAAGCGCACGUAGGCGGCUUUCUAAGUCGGGGGUGAAAUCCUGGAGCUCAACUCCAGAACUGCCUUCGAUACUGGAGAGCUCGAGUCCGGGAGAGGUGAGUGGAACUGCGAGUGUAGAGGUGAAAUUCGUAGAUAUUCGCAAGAACACCAGUGGCGAAGGCGGCUCACUGGCCCCGGUACUGACGCUGAGGUGCGGAAAAGCGUGGGGGAGCAAACAGGGAUUAAGAAACCCUUGUACGU